ensembl:lncRNA
UAAGUACUCAAAGGAUGACAAGUCAGGCAAUUUAUUAUUUAGGGGCAUAGAAGUAUGUGGGUUCCCUGUUCCACAGGCAGCACAGGCAAAUGAUAUGAAUAUGAAAUAGGAAUUGCUGUGCAAAAAUAUUUGUAGGAGUUCUUUUUGUAGGGGCAGGAACCUAGAAACUGAGUGGAUACCCAUCAGUUGGUUCUAUAUGAAACGAUCAAGAGGAUGAUUUCAAAGAGGCCUGGAGAGACUUACAUGAACUGAUGCUGAGUGAAGUGAGCAGAAGCAGGAGAUCAUUGUACAUGACAGCAGCAAGAUUAUAUGAUGAUCAAUUCUGAUGGAUGAGGCUCUCGUCAACAAGGAGUCUCAUUGGUGGGAACUGGCAAAGCAACUCCUCCGUGCUGACUUUUCCGCAGAAUUCCCGCAAAGGUGUUUUCUGCUGAAAUCCUCCAAACACCGGGGGACCCGCCCCAUAAGCUGUUCUAUUCCCCUCCGUCUGCAGCGGCUCUGCCUGCCCAGCCUUCUCCUGGCAUCGCAAGGGCUAAACUGCAACGUCCUUCCUACAAAGUCUCUGGAAAGCUGCGGUAAUCCCUACUCCGUCCUGUAGGCACGUUCAAGGCCAUUGAAACUACUAAUUUAGCUCUCAGAACGUACGUUGGUGAGCAUCGGGGGGGGAUGGGGGAGGGGGAUCCUUUACCCCCCCCCCCCCAUCCUGCUUCUAAAGGGACGUGAGGAAGUGUAAAAACAAAAACGCAGCUCGGGAUCUGAAGCUGAGCUAGUGCAGCCUGCGGGGGAUGCUGCGGUCACACACCGGAGGCCGGGGACGGCUUGCUGGCAGGUUUUGGAUCUCAGUUUAUGCACUAUCAAAUGCUCCAACAGCUACCUGCUGUGCAGAUAUAUUUACUGUUGAUUGAAGUGUGAGCCAUAUGCUUCAGAUACAACGGUGGGAGACAGUCAAGGUUGACUGCCACUCUCCUUGGAAGCUGGAGAGGCAGCUGCAUUCUUCCUGGAAUACGAGUCAACCUUCUCCAGCAGAGUCUGGACAAAGGCAGGAGCAGAAGGAAGACAGUCUCUACAGGCAAUAUUUAGCUUAAAAUAUUUAGUUUAGAAAAAAAUCCCUUUUAAAGAGCACUGUGCCAGGCAUUACAGCAACUAAUUCUUGCUAUCAUCAUCCAAAAGGAGUUACAAUAGGGCAAAUAGAAAAACCUACACAUACCCUGAUAAGGAUUCAAAAAUAAAAGUAAAAUGGAAAAAUCCAUGUGUGUUGUGUGAGUUAUAAAUCAUGUUUUCCUGGGCAAGGAAAACUUAAAGACAGACUAUUCUGUCUGGUUGAAUUGGAUUCACUUUUUUCCUUUUGUUUAUUUUUAAUUUUUGCUUUUCAUUUUUAUAUGACAUUACCUUGUGUUCCUCCCUUUUCCCCUCAUGAAGAGAGUUUUUUCUUGGAAGAAUAAAAAACAAAAGAAAAAAACAAGUAUGGUUGUCUUUUAGAUGUCCUUUUUAGAUGUCAGCAAAUUCUUAGGCUGAGGGGCAAGGCCAGAGAUUAUUAGAUAUAAGGAUGAAGUCCUAUCAAAAAUGAUUGAGUUAUUCCACACCUUUUACCUUCAGGGUACAAACUGUCCCAUAUUUUUUUGUCCAACACUCAUUUGUACUGAAUCACAGAAUAUUAGUCUUAAAAAUAUGGAGAUCCUUGAACCCCAGAACUGUUUGGUGGAUUUUGGGGCAAAUGUCCACUGCUUGGUCAUGGACUACUUAUGCACAAAUGAAUAUUCAGGAAACAUACUGGAUAGUCACUAUAAGUUAAGGUAACAUCUCUCCCUGAAGGGGGCCUAGUCUGAACCAAUAAAGAGAUAUGCAAAGAAGAAACUAUACAAACAUUUCCCCUUCUCUUUUUCUUGCCUGACAUUUA